rnacentral:lncRNA from 1 species
CUGAUCUACACUAUAUACCUUUUUUACACUGUCUCAGUCUGGCAGUAUUGAACCUGUUGCUGCAUUAGCCGAGUUGUAUUUUGCUAGAUAGGGGAAGGAGGGUUGUCUGCUGUCUGGUAGGAGGGCUUUGUCUGUGUGUGCCUUUCUCUCUCUCUCCCUCUCUCUCUCUGUGUCUCUCAUACUCCCGCUUGCUCUCCCUCUGGCUCUCUCUCUCUCCCUCGCUCUCUCUCCCUUUCCCGUCUCUGUGGUUUGUAAGGGAGACAGCGACUAUGAGGAGACAAACUGAGGACUGGGGAACAAGGGAACUAGAGGGCUUGAAACCUCUUUUACAUCCUGCAUUGGCUCUGACCACAGUCCUUCCCUGCUCUCACAAGUGGAGCUCAGCCCUGCUUUCCUUCCUGUUGAUUCCCAGUCAGCUACUUGACUGCCUGAAGUUACAUUUUAGAUGCUGAAAUCACUGCACCUUAAAAACAAAAAGAUUAAGCUGCACUGCAUUCCUGGAAGGAGCUGAGGCUGCGUGUCUAAGAGCACCAUCAUUCCACAAAUGUAUGUCAGAAGCUACACCAGUCUGGUCUACUGGUAUUUUUAGGAAAGCAAAUAGUAGUUGGAAUUUUAAUGUUUGAAUAACAAGCAAAUGAAUAAAGCUGGUGGAGAGUCUGAAAGAGUUGGAUGC